AUGGUCAAGUCCAAUGAGAUAUUGCUGAUCAAGACAUUGGAGGCUAAAAAUGAGUUGGCCAAGAAGAAGGCUCAAGAGAAGCAAGAGAAGUGUCAACUACUCAAGGAGGAGACCGACCGCAAGGCCCUCAUUGAGGAGAGAAGAGCAAAUGCCGCGGAGGACAAAGCCAUGGCCAAACUCCUUCAAGAGGAGAACAAGAUCAUGAUGAUGAAUCGAAAUGAGAUGGACGAGGUCACCAAAGAAUGGCAUGACAUGGCAAGGUUGGAGAUCUUGGAGAGGAGGAGGCUAGCCGGAAGAGGCCAUGCGUUGCCAAGGUUUGGUGAGCAUGGUGGUUCGGCAAGUGGUGGUGGCAAUGGUGGCGGUGAAGAUUUCAUCUUGUAA
rnacentral:rRNA from 1 species